ensembl:rRNA 5S_rRNA 5S ribosomal RNA
GGCCAUACCACCCUGAACGCGCCCGAUCUUGUCUGACCUCGGAAGCUAAGCAGGGUCGGGCCUGGUUAGUACUUGGAUGGGAGACAAGCACCUCCCAGGCUCCUCUCGGGGCAGCAGGAAAAGAGACCU